rnacentral:rRNA from 1 species
GACGAACGCUGGCGGCGUGCUUAAUACAUGCAAGUCGAACGGAAAGGCCCUGCUUUUGUUGGGUGCUCGAGUGGCGAACGGGGGAGUAACACGCGAGUAACCUGCACUUGACUUUGGGAUAACUCUAGGAAACUGGGGCUAAUACCGGAUAGGAGCUUCUGCUGCAUGGUGGGGGUUGGAAAGUUUCGGCGGUUGGGGCUGGACUCGCGGCUUAUCAGCUGGUUGGUGAGGUAGUGGCGUACCAAGGCUUUGACGGGUAGCCUGCCUGAGCGGGUGGCCGGCCACAUUAGGCCUGAGGUACGGCCCAGACUGCUACGGGACGCAGCGGUGGGGAAUAUUGCGGAGUGGGGGGAAGCCUGAGGCGAAAACGCCGCGUGCGGGAUAACGGCCUUCGGGUUGUGAACAGAUUUGGAAGGUGCCGUGCCGAGCGUGACGGUAAUGAGUAAGGAAGCAACGGCUAACUACGUG